UCCCCUGUGAGUGGAACUCUCUCUGCUUCCUGGUCGCCAUGUCCUGAGCGGAUUUCCUCCACCACACCCUCCCACCAUGGUUCCUGCCUCCUGUAGAGCUAUGGAGUUGGCCCAUCAUGGACUGAACCUCUGAAGCCGCCUCUGGACGUGCGGUGCAGGUCUGGCCGGGGUCUGAUGCUGGUUCUGGGGGACUGCAGGAGAAGCGAACAGGGAGCUGGUUUCACGCCGUCAGAUCACCCGGAUGCACUUGGAAAGGUUUCUUCUUCUGUCCCUGUACAAGGACACCUGUUUGGGUUGCCAUGUGAGUCACACAGGUGCUCCUGAGCACACUGCUGACCUUCCGUCGCGUGGGUGGCGCCCCAACGUGCUAAAGUCGGGCUUGACCUGUCUGCCUCAGGCCCUCGUUCUAAAUCAGAAAAUGCUGCGCGGAGAACGUCUUUCCCCUGCUCUAGACCAGCAGGUACGGGAGGAGCACACCCGCGCGCACACACGCACCCAGGCACAGUCCGCAAGGCAAUUUCCGAAUCUACUAUGAUCGCUAUGUUCAGUCUAAUUGAAAUGAAAUUGGAGUUGAUUUAAUUAUUGUCAUUUAGAAAACUAAUUUUUGCUGGAUACAUGUGUGUUACAUAGAAAUCCAAAAGAACCUGAAAUUCCAGUGAGUGAUUAGUUCAUUAUGUAGGCUAAUUGCUUUUACAGUUAUAAAUAAACCCCAAAUACCGCAGAUCUAAAGUACACACCUGUGUGCUAAUUGCUUUUCUGAGGGCUGUUUCCAUGGCUGCAGAGUUGAGUUCUGCCACCCACAGAUCGGAUGGUGCAGGUGGAUGCGGAGCUGCCCUCCAGAGAAGGAACAGUUGUGCAGGACUUCCGGACUGCCCAGCCCUGGACAGCGCCACCCCUGGCAUCCAGGCUGACUUGGAAUUCCAGAAGGAGAGGACCUGGGUGCAGAAAGGUGGCCCACUGGAGGGAACGUGGCCUUCAGACUGAAGGCAGCACCCUCCGUGCCCCACAGCGUGCGGGACCUGCUCUGGAGCGGGCGCCCUGCUCCUUCCAGUUCAGAACCUGAGUUCCCCACUCCGUGCAGUUGGUGGAAAAAUGCUUUCUCAGGAACAUUUUAAAAAGAAACUAAUGACCAGAACUCUGGAUGCUUUAGUUAAAUAUGUGCAUUUUAAAAAGCUUGUUUCUGCGUGAAUUUGCAUAAUGGUUCUUUCCCAUAGGCCACAGUUACCUUUCCCUCUGUUUAAUAGACUCAAUGUUGCAUUAUUAACAACCAUAUGCAAAAUGAUGACCUCAGGAGGCUCCUUCCCCCAAAAUGGCUUCUUCCCUGAUUAUCUGCCUGUGCCCUCUGCGGCCGAGCAGCUCGUAAUGGGGCAGCAGCGUUUCUUGGCUGAUGAAAGCCCAGGGCGAAGGAACCUGGCUCGAGGUACAGUGACCUUCCUUUCUGAGCCUGGCGCACACAGGAGCCUUUUCAUCAGAAGGCGGGGUGUCGGCCCAUGGGCGCUGCUGUGACAGGGCCCCUGUGUGUGACGCGGUAAGGCCAGAGUUGAUCUCCAGUGGUUCUGGAGGCUGGGGUCCAAGACCAAGCUGCCACAGGCGGGGUCACGGGGAGCCUCUGCAGGGCCCAGGCCUGCGCUCACCUGGUGGAGCGGGAGCCUCUUUCUGGGGGCCUUCACCCCCCUUGUGGGGCAGCGGCUCUCACGACCCCUUCGCUCCUUAAAGCCUCCCCUCUUUAAACAGCCGCAGAGGCAGUGCCCGAGUUCUGGAGAGGACACAUCCAAAACAGCGUACGGCCACGUAUGUUUUCCCUUUGAUUUUGAAAUAAUUUCCAACAUUAAAAAAUAAGUUGCAAAAAUACUCCCCCCACUCCGGAGCCCUCUUCAGGUUCUGUGAAGUUCCCAGCGAUGAACUUGGUGGCAGGAGGCCCCCUGCAGGGCCAAGGCUGGGGCGUCUCCUUCUCUGGGGCCUCUCUGGAACAGUGUCUCAGCUUCUGCUCCACAUUCAGGGCCUCGCUAUUUUGAAGGCGGUGGACCAUCUUGUAGGAACGCCUUAGCUUGGCCUCACCCUUCCCCGUGCCUGAGCCAGCGCAUCCCGCGCAGGAUGUGACACUGUUGGCGACGGCUCCCUCUUGGUCACCAUGAGGUCGUCUGCCCCUGUUGUUAGGGCACCAGCGGC